ensembl:lncRNA
GUGCUGCCAUUCACACAGUGAGCUCCUCUGCCUCACAGGCCUGGCCAGGCAAUGCUAACAAUAAACAAACCAUAAUAACUCACAACUGUGGCUGAACCCAGCCCUUAAUGACAUUAUUCAAUACAGCUUCAACACUGUGAAGAACUUCAUCACUUCGUUCCCAUGCUCCUCACAGCAUUUCCAGGUUGGCUUUACCAACAGUGAUUCCAAGAGCUUAUUCUAAUUGUUUUGCUAGUACAGUACAGGGAAGCUAACCUGCCGUGAAACCUGAUGCUUUCUGCAGGAACAGGUUAUUGCAGGGUAACAAGUGGCUUUUCUUUCCUGAGCCUAAACUGGCAGUACAGUACCACAGGGGGGCACUCACAUGAGCACGUACACCUCCCGGCAGGUGUGCACAGCUGGGCGCAGGGCUCAGCAGGGCUGGCGGAGAGCCAGGCUUGGAAAGAGGUGCUACCAGCUUCUCAGAUGUGAAUGAAUGAAGAACUAGAGCGUGAAGAUUCCACCUGAAAAUCUCUGAGAGAUCAACAGACAACAUUCCUUUUCCCUUUUUCUUUCCCUUUCUCUCUUCACUUCCCCCUCCACUUUUUCACUGAAAGUCUACUUUUUCUUUGGGUGCAUCACGUUCUGUCAAAAACAGAAAUUUGGGAAUGAGGAGAUUUUGUUAGGAUUUUGCCAGCUGCUUUGCUUCAACUUCACACUGGUUCCACUGUGGAAGCCAUGCUGACCUAAAAAUAGUCUCUUCUGAAAAUUUCGCCUCUGGAGCCAAGCAGCACUGAAGUUAUAAAUGAAGAGGGAAUGUGACAGAGAUCAAAAUCUGCCUCGCUGGUCCAGACAGAUAAAUAUCAGGUUAGCUUGAAGGUUUUCACCUCUCUGCUGCCGGGAGUUACAUUUUUUUUUUCAUGGCAGAGCACUGUGGGCUAAUUUUGUAGCUGGUAUAAAUCAACAUUACACAAUAUACAUCGGUGCAAUGAUGCUGAUCUAUGCCAGUUAAGAAUCUGGCUGCUCCUACUAGCAGUGCUCUGACUUAUAAAUCUUCCUCUUAAAAACGCGUGGAUGAACCAAAGGAACUGUUGCAGAGAGCUGCAUGUUUUAAAAGUGGCCUCAAGAAGACAGGACAGUCCCAAUUUCAAACCAUGAUAAAAAAUAUAGGCAUGGUUGUGAGCUUUUUCCCAGAGAUGAUAGUUUAAGCUCUGCAGAAGCCAGAAUCCCCACCACCUGUGAAAUCUUGAGUCGGGAUGAAGACUUCAGCUGUUCAGAUGUGCUUAUCUUGUAUUCCUUAUGAGUUUUGAAAUGAUUCACCUUUUUCCCCAUUAAACAUAUCUACACAUAUAUAUUUUUAAGUCAUCCUAUUGCUUAACCACUGCUCCUUCCUUCUUUGCUUGCUUUUUCUUUCUUAUGUACGCAUGUAUACCUGACUCCUUGGAGAUCACUUUGUCUGCCUCUGUGAUUACUGGAGUCAGCCAGCAACACGACAGGACUUGCUUGUUUACAUAGCUCUGAGGGUUAUGACAACACAUCAGAAUGUACAGGUGCCAUGUAGAGAUGCAGCUUGCAAUUAAGAUCAGUAAAGCUGACUAUUUAAUAAAGAAUUUCUUCAUUUUAUAACA